UACGUAGGGUGCAAGCGUUGUCCGGAAUUAUUGGGCGUCAAGGGCUCGUAGGCGGUCUGUCACGUCGGGAGUGAAAACUCGGGGCUUAACCCCGAGCCUGCUUCCGAUACGGGCAGACUAGAGGUAUGCAGGGGAGAAUGGAAUUCCUGGUGUAGCGGUGAAAUGCGCAGAUAUCAGGAGGAACACCGGUGGCGAAGGCGGUUCUCUGGGCAUUACCUGACGCUGAGGAGCGAAAGUGUGGGAGGCGAACAGG
rnacentral:rRNA from 1 species